rfam:Myotis brandtii contig323429, whole genome shotgun sequence.
GGGGGUUCUCAGGUGACGCACCCCAGAAAUGAGCUCCCUCCUCUCUGGUUCUGGUGUGCAUUGCCUGAGAACCUCU